AGGGGUAUAGCUCAGUGGCAGAGUGAAUGCUUGGCUUGCAAGAGGUCCCAGGUUCAAUCCCCAGUGCCUCUG
rnacentral:tRNA from 1 species